UACGUAGGACCCAAGCGUUAUCCGGAAUUACUGGGCGUAAAGAGUUGCGUAGGCGGCUUGUUAAGCACGGUGUGAAAGCGUCCCGCUCAACGGGAUAUACAUACCAUGAACUGGCAAGCUAGAGUGUGAGAGAGGUUACUGGAAUUGCUAGUGUAGGAGUGAAAUCCGUAGAUAUUAGCAGGAACACCGAUGGCGUAGGCAGGUAACUGGCUCAUUACUGACGCUCAGGCACGAAAGCGUGGGGAGCAAACGGG
rnacentral:rRNA from 1 species